GGAGGAGGCGGCGGCCUACACAUGCAAGUCGAGCGGUAGAGAGAAGCUUGCUUCUCUUGAGAGCGGCGGACGGGUGAGUAAUGCCUAGGAAUCUGCCUGGUAGUGGGGGAUAACGUUCGGAAACGGACGCUAAUACCGCAUACGUCCUACGGGAGAAAGCAGGGGACCUUCGGGCCUUGCGCUAUCAGAUGAGCCUAGGUCGGAUUAGCUAGUUGGUGGGGUAAUGGCUCACCAAGGCGACGAUCCGUAACUGGUCUGAGAGGAUGAUCAGUCACACUGGAACUGAGACACGGUCCAGACUCCUACGGGAGGCAGCAGUGGGGAAUAUUGGACAAUGGGCGAAAGCCUGAUCCAGCCAUGCCGCGUGUGUGAAGAAGGUCUUCGGAUUGUAAAGCACUUUAAGUUGGGAGGAAGGGUUGUAGAUUAAUACUCUGCAAUUUUGACGUUACCGACAGAAUAAGCACCGGCUAACUCUGUGCCAGCAGCCGCGGUAAUACAGAGGGUGCAAGCGUUAAUCGGAAUUACUGGGCGUAAAGCGCGCGUAGGUGGUUUGUUAAGUUGGAUGUGAAAUCCCCGGGCUCAACCUGGGAACUGCAUUCAAAACUGACUGACUAGAGUAUGGUAGAGGGUGGUGGAAUUUCCUGUGUAGCGGUGAAAUGCGUAGAUAUAGGAAGGAACACCAGUGGCGAAGGCGACCACCUGGACUAAUACUGACACUGAGGUGCGAAAGCGUGGGGAGCAAACAGGAUUAGAUACCCUGGUAGUCCGACGCCGUAAACGAUGUCAACUAGCCGUUGGAAGCCUUGAGCUUUUAGUGGCGCAGCUAACGCAUUAAGUUGACCGCCUGGGGAGUACGGGCCGCAAGGUUAAAACUCAAAUGAAUUGACGGGGGCCCGCACAAGCGGUGGAGCAUGUGGUUUAAUUCCGAAGCAACGCGAAGAACCUUUACCAAGGCCUUGACAUCCCAUGAAACUUUCUAGAGAUAGAUUGGGUGCCUUUCGGCAACCAUUGAAACAGGUGCUGCAUGGCUGUCGUCAGCAUCCGACGGAUCGUUCGAGAUUGUUGGUGUUAAAGU
rnacentral:rRNA from 1 species